AGUCGAGCGGCAGCACGGGAAGCUUGCUUCCUGGUGGCGAGCGGCGGACGGGUGAGUAAUGCAUAGGAAUCUGCCCGAUAGUGGGGGAUAACCUGGGGAAACCCAGGCUAAUACCGCAUACGUCCUACGGGAGAAAGCAGGGGCUCUUCGGACCUUGCGCUAUCGGAUGAGCCUAUGUCGGAUUAGCUGGUUGGUGAGGUAAUGGCUCACCAAGGCGACGAUCCGUAGCUGGUCUGAGAGGAUGAUCAGCCACAUCGGGACUGAGACACGGCCCGAACUCCUACGGGAGGCAGCAGUGGGGAAUAUUGGACAAUGGGCGCAAGCCUGAUCCAGCCAUGCCGCGUGUGUGAAGAAGGCCCUCGGGUUGUAAAGCACUUUCAGUGGGGAAGAAAGCCUUGGGGCUAAUACCCUCGAGGAAGGACAUCACCCACAGAAGAAGCACCGGCUAACUCCGUGCCAGCAGCCGCGGUAAUACGGAGGGUGCGAGCGUUAAUCGGAAUUACUGGGCGUAAAGCGCGCGUAGGUGGCUUGAUAAGCCGGUUGUGAAAGCCCCGGGCUCAACCUGGGAACGGCAUCCGGAACUGUCAGGCUAGAGUGCAGGAGAGGAAGGUAGAAUUCCCGGUGUAGCGGUGAAAUGCGUAGAGAUCGGGAGGAAUACCAGUGGCGAAGGCGGCCUUCUGGACUGACACUGACACUGAGGUGCGAAAGCGUGGGUAGCAAAUAGGAUUAGAUACCCUGGUAGUCCACGCCGUAAACGAUGUCGACUAGCCGUUGGGAGCC
rnacentral:rRNA from 1 species